UAACAUACGUCUUGAUUAAUUUCAUGCAAACUCUUUGCAAAUAUAUCGAAUAAUAAAUUUAUCUCUAUAAAGUUCAAUUUUUUAUAUUUAUUUCUAUAAAAGUUCAGUACUAUUUAUAUUUAUCUUUCUGAUUUGUUAUCGUUGGAGGACUAUUUUAUUUUUUAACGAAGGAUAAAUAAAAUGGCAUUUUGCUAUAAAAAGUGUCUCUUCAAAAGCCUCAACUGUUAGAAUUGUAUAGAAAUAUUCUUCCAAAAAUCUCAAAUAGUCAUCCUUCUCCUUUUGCCAUCACAAAUAAUAUAAGAAGAAUACAUCUACUAUUUGAUAUGUUUAUAACGAACUGCAAUUAACCGAAAAUAGAAUGAAAAUUGCUACUUAUACACCCCAGUUGUACAAGUUACAACCCACCAACCUUAUUGUUUAGUGCAUUUUUACUUUGCCGUCAUAUAGUUCAUAAAGUUAUAUUUGAUGAUAAAAUCAUCAAAUAAUUUAAGGAUAAACUACACUUUUGGUCCUCAAACUAUGAGAUGCAUGACACUUUAGUCCUCAAAUUUUAAUUGAUUGUAAUUUCUGACUCGAACUAUAAGCUAUGUAAAUUUAGUUUUCAAACUUUUUAAAUUGUUGCAAUCACAUACCAUGAAAAAAUUUUGAAUGAACAUUAAUAAAUUACUAAUAUCGAAAUAAUGUAACAGUUUAAUUAUUUUUGCAUUAUAAAAUAGGAUAUUGUUACCAUUCAGAAAUUCAACAACUAAAAUAUUACGUACCUUAUAGUUUGAGUCAAAAAUUACAACUAUUUAAAGUUUGAGAACUAAAGUGUCAUGCGAUCAUAGUUCGAGACAAACUAUGAUGAUUUAAAGUUUGAGAACUAAAAUGUCAUGCGAUCAUAGUUCGAGACAAACUAUGAUGAUUUAAAGUUUGAGAACUAAAGUGUCACGCACAUCAUAGUUUAAGAACCAAAGUGCAAUUUAUCCAUAAUUUAAUGUAAUUCUUUAAACCAUAAGGUGACAAAAUAAAAACACACUAAACCAUGUGAUAGUUAAGUGUAAUUUUAUAUAAAGUAAAAAUAUGCUAAAUCACAGUGAGGUAAAUUAAGACACACUAAAAUAUAAUUAGUUAGGUUAGAAUAUAUUUAGAAGAAAACAAAAAAUUUGCUUCCACAACAUUUUUGAUAAUAAACCAUCCGAAUCAGAUGAUUAAUACUAUUAAAUACGAUCUAGCUUAUUUGAAUUUCGUAAAAAUUGAAUUUUACGAUUUUAUGACAUUAUUAGACUAGUAAUCAAGUGGUGUCAAAUUUAUUGUAUGUUAGCCAUUAAAUAUAAUCUGUCUUUUUAAACUUUACAGGAAUCAAAUUUUUAUAAUUUUAUAAUAUCAUUUGUCUAGUAUCAGAUAGCCCAUUUAACAAUUUUAAUAAGCUAAUAUAAGAUAAAUUUGAUAUUAUUCGAUUAUGAGGUAAAUAAUAUUAUAAAAUUAUAAAAUUUAAUUUUUGUGAAGUUUAGAUAGAUUAAAUCAUAUAUAACAGUGACGUUCCUCAAUUUAAAUACCCCAUAAUAAAAAACGACAAAAAGAUAAAAUGUCCCAUAUGUACAUACCUUUUCAUUUAAUGCGCUCUAUAAUAUUCAAAAUACCUACACUGGUAAAAUAUAAAAUUAUUAUAUUAAUUUUUAUAAAUUGAAUAAUAUUUAUUUCCACACUAUCAGAUUUUCAAGAUCAGUCCAUAGGGUGUUUGGCCUAGUUUCUCAGAAGUGAUUUUUAGCCCAAAAUUACUUUUAACCUGAGUAAAGUAUUUAGAAAUGACAGAUAGAAAAUCUGAUUCUACUUUUCAAAAUUAGAAAACUGAUUUUGAAGAAUCUAGAAUCAAAAGUAGAAAAAUGCUGUUUCUCCAAAACUGAUUCUGAUUUUGGACUCAAACUUUAAAUUUUUAUUUUUAUUUUAGAUUUAGAUUCAAAGUAUAAAUUUAACAUUAAAUUUAAAUUUUAAAAUUUUAAAUUCAUAUUUGAAUUUUUAAAUCUCACCUUUUUAAAUUUAAAAUUUAAAAUUUAGAUUUAAAAUUUAAAAUUUAAUUUUCAAAUCUCAAAUUUUAAAAUUUUUAAAUUUUAAAUUUUAAAUUUUAAAUUUAAGAUAAACUUUAAAUUUUGACAUUUUAGAUUUUAAAACUUAAAUUUAAAAACACUUUACAGUUUUUCAUCAAAAUUAAUUUUUUAAAUUAAAAUCACUUUUCCAAAUCUAGUCCAAAC
rnacentral:lncRNA from 1 species